GUUAUUAUAUUGGUUUAACCUUGGAUCGCGUUAAUUCGGGCCAUGAGGAGGUUAUUCCGGUGGUUUGAUAUCGGAUCUCGUUAAUUCGGGCCCUGAGGAGUUUGUGCGGGUUGAAAUCCCCAACACGCUAAUUCGGGGAUCAAAAUACUAAUCAGUAUCAACCAUUUUAGCUGUGGUUUCGUUUGCGAAACUGGUUCUCUUAAUAAGGAAUUUUAUUUCACAUUUUCUAAUACUAAUUGCAGCAGUUAAUGUUAUGAUGCUAUGGUCCUAUAUGCCGUAUUAAAAUAUUUGUCAUACAUGGUACUAAACCAAUAAUUGAGUGCAUAAUGGUGAUCAAGGUAAAGUUAGAAAGGAAUCUUCAUAUGCUGGUGGAUUUUUUUGAGCCUAAAAUGGGUCUAUAUGACAAUUCGGGAACAUUCCUCGGUGCUAAUGAAGACUCAACUAGAACCCUUGCAGAAAUCGAGAAGAAGAUUGCAAGGGCUACCGUGUUACCCAGAAAUCAUGGGGAGGUACUACAUAAUAUUUGCAAUUAUAUACCAUAUUUUGUGAUUUAAUUGUUCCAGUUUGGUCAGAGAAUUGAUUAGCUCUAGGAAUAUACAUGUGCUCUAGGAAUAUACCAUAGCUUUAGGAAUAUACCAUAUUUGCAAUUAUAUACCAUAUUUUUUCUGAUGAGAACCAACACACUUGGGAACAAACCAACUCAAUAGUUACCGUAAAAUAACAAGGGAUAUAGUGAUUUACAUGAAAAAAAAUAAAUGUUAAACAAUAUGCAGUAAAAAAUGCUACUUGUUAGUAACAUUUUUCCUCCAGGGAACCCUUCACUGAUAUAAUGAACUAUUCCUUCAGUUUAUACCUUGGAUUUGUGUUUGCUUUUGUCUUAAAAUUAAUUAAUUAUUAAAUUGUUACUAAUGAGCUAUUGGAAUGCAAUUCCCUACGUGGCAUCUUUCUUGAUUUAUCUCAUGGAUGUCGAAGAAGGGGAGAAACUAUGUUCCCAUAUGAGGUCUCCUAUUCUUCAGCUGAAGAUCAUACUUGCUGUGGAGCCUUUGACCCCUUCAGAGGGACCAAGGAUUGGAGAGAACAUUUUCGGUUACACGAUAGUGGACAUCUUCAGUAGCAGCUGCCGUGGCCACCAUAAGAAUCCUCCUUCAGAGCCAUAUGUCCUUGAGAUUAUGUUGGAAGUGGAGGCUGUGUGCAAGGCGUGACAGCGUGUCAUGGUCAAGGACCCUAAGCUCUAGCGCCAAAUUCAUAUCACAUCUGUUCUAGAAUGAGAUCAUGAAUGGUCCCUGGGGUUGGCCUGGUUCACGCUCCAUUCUCAGUGCGUUUUCCGACAUCGUUCUUCAAGCAAGCAUGCGAGCUGGCUCCUAUUUUCACUGAGCUUGUGGAUUGUGUGAGCUUAGAUGGGGAGUCCUUGCAAGCUGCUUUGUCUAG